GAUGAACGCUGGCGGCGUGCCUAAUACAUGCAAGUCGAGCGAACGGACGAGAAGCUUGCUUCUCUGAUGUUAGCGGCGGACGGGUGAGUAACACGUGGAUAACCUACCUAUAAGACUGGGAUAACUUCGGGAAACCGGAGCUAAUACCGGAUGAUAUUUUGAACCGCAUGGUUCAAAAGUGAAAGACGGUCUUGCUGUCACUUAUAGAUGGAUCCGCGCUGCAUUAGCUAGUUGGUAAGGUAACGGCUUACCAAGGCAACGAUGCAUAGCCGACCUGAGAGGGUGAUCGGCCGCACUAGAGCUGAGACACGGUCCAGGCUCCUACGGGAGGCAGCAGUAGGGAAUCUUCCGCAAUGGGCGAAAGCCUGACGGAGCAACGCCGCGUGAGUGAUGAAGGUCUUCGGAGCGUAAAACUCUGUUAUUAGGGAAGAACAUAUGUGUAAGGAACUGUACACAGCUUGACGGUACCUAAUCAGAAAGCCACGGCUAACUACGUG
rnacentral:rRNA from 1 species